AUGUCAUCGUAUCACAAAUUUCUGUCUAAUCUGUCUGUCCGUAUACAAGAGUAGUUAUUGAGCUAUAAAAACAAUAACAUGGAAUUGGGAUUCGUAACUUUGUACUUCUAUGUCAGGUACACACCAAUAUCAAAGUCAAAGGACAAAAUACAAUUUU